GAUGAAGAACGUAGUGAAAUGCGAUACGUAAUGUGAAUUGCAGAAUUCAGUGAAUCAUCGAAUCUUUGAACGCAUAUUGCGCUCUCUGGUAUUCCGGAGAGCAUGCUUGUUUGAGUAUCAGUAAACACCUCAACUCCCUUUUCUUUUUUGAAAUUGGAGCUGGACUUGAGUGAUCCCAACGCUUUCUUCCAAGAAAGUGGCGGGUUGCUUGAAAUGCAGGUGCAGCUGAACUUUUCUCUGAGCUAUAAGCAUAUCUAUUUAGUCUGCCUAAAAAACAGAUUAUUACCUUUGCUGCAGCUAACAUAAAUGAGACUAGUUCUUGUGCUGACUGAUGCAGGAUUCACAGAGACAGCUUCGGCUGACUUUGUAAACUCGAUCUCAAAUCAAGUAAGACUACCCGCUGAACUUAAGCAUAUCAAUAAGCGGAGGA
rnacentral:misc_RNA from 1 species